AAGGGUGUGGCUCAGUGGUGGAGCACUUGUCUGUCAUGCCUGAGACUCUGGGUUCAACCCCCAGCACCAUCC
rfam:Cavia porcellus supercont2_17 genomic scaffold, whole genome shotgun sequence.